UGCAAGUCGAACGGUAACGCGGAGAGAAGCUUGCUUCUCUCCGGCGACGAGCGGCGAACGGGUGAGUAAUACAUCGGAACGUGUCCGCUCGUGGGGGACAACCAGCCGAAAGGUUGGCUAAUACCGCAUGAGUUCUACGGAAGAAAGAGGGGGACCCGCAAGGGCCUCUCGCGAGCGGAGCGGCCGAUGACUGAUUAGCCGGUUGGUGAGGUAACGGCUCACCAAAGCAACGAUCAGUAGCUGGUCUGAGAGGACGACCAGCCACACUGGGACUGAGACACGGCCCAGACUCCUACGGGAGGCAGCAGUGGGGAAUUUUGGACAAUGGGCGCAAGCCUGAUCCAGCUAUUCCGCGUGUGGGAUGAAGGCCCUCGGGUUGUAAACCACUUUUGUAGAGAACGAAAAGACACCUUCGAAUAAAGGGUGUUGCUGACGGUACUCUAAGAAUAAGCACCGGCUAACUACGUGCCAGCAGCCGCGGUAAUACGUAGGGUGCGAGCGUUAAUCGGAAUUACUGGGCGUAAAGAGUGCGCAGGCGGUUGAGUAAGACAGAUGUGAAAUCCCCGAGCUUAACUCGGGAAUGGCAUAUGUGACUGCUCGACUAGAGUGUGUCAGAGGGAGGUGGAAUUCCACGUGUAGCAGUGAAAUGCGUAGAUAUGUGGAAGAACACCGAUGGCGAAGGCAGCCUCCUGGGACAUAACUGACGCUCAGGCACGAAAGCGUGGGGAGCAAAC
rnacentral:rRNA from 1 species